CCUGGCAACCGUAGAGAUAUGAGAAGCUGGGUUAUACGCACUUCCACAACGGCAACUACGUUGUCAUAAAAUACAACCAUAACACCUAAUGUCUUAAAUUCGCAAGAAUUUGAGAGUCAGAGAUUUUCAAUCUCUGAAUGUGAAAUGGCGGUGAAGAAAAAUAAGUGGAAGAGCUAUGCUCU
rnacentral:sRNA from 1 species